rnacentral:rRNA from 1 species
UACAGAGGGUGCGAGCGUUGUCCGGAAUCACUGGGCGUAAAGGGCGCGUAGGUGGCUUGGUAAGCGUGUGGUGAAAGUCCGGGGCUCAACCCCGGAUCUGCCGUGCGAACUGCUGAGCUCGAGCACUGUAGAGGCAGGUGGAAUUUCGGGUGUAGCGGUGGAAUGCGUAGAUAUCCGAAAGAACACCGGUGGCGAAGGCGGCCUGCUGGGCAGUUGCUGACACUGAGGCGCGACAGCGUGGGGAGCAAACAGGAUUAGAAACCCCCGUAGUCC